CAAGUAUUAGAGGCAUUGCCUGCCCAGUGACUGUAGUUAAACGGCCGCGGUAUCCUGACCGUGCAAAGGUAGCAUAAUCACUUGUUCCUUAAUUAGGGACUUGUAUGAACGGCUAAACGAGGGUCCAACUGUCUCUUAUUUUCGAUCAGUGAAAUUGACCUUCCAGUGAAGAGGCUGGAAUCCUAAAAUAAGACGAGAAGACCCUAUGGAGCUUAAAUCAAUAAACUUAUAUGAAUAUCUUCCAUAAACCUAGUGGAAUAAAAACAUAAGUAAUAAGCUUAAAAUUUUGGUUGGGGUGACCUCGGAGAACAGAAAAUCCUCCGAACGAUUAUAACAUAGACCAACAAGUCAAAGUAAACCAAUUUUCCAAUUGACCCAAAAAUUUGAUCAACGGACCAAGUUACCCUAGGGAUAACAGCGCAAUCCUAUUUAAGAGUCCAUAUCGACAAUAGGGUUUACGACCUCGAUGUUGGAUCAGGACAUCCCAAUGGUGCAGAAGCUAUUAAUGGUUCGUUUGUUCAACG
rnacentral:rRNA from 1 species